rnacentral:rRNA from 1 species
UGGGGAAUAUUGCACAAUGGGCGCAAGCCUGAUGCAGCCAUGCCGCGUGUGUGAAGAAGGCCUUCGGGUUGUAAAGCACUUUCAGCGAGGAGGAAGGUGGUGAACUUAAUACGUUCAUCAAUUGACGUUACUCGCAGAAGAAGCACCGGCUAACUCCGUGCCAGCAGCCGCGGUAAUACGGAGGGUGCAAGCGUUAAUCGGAAUUACUGGGCGUAAAGCGCACGCAGGCGGUUUGUUAAGUCAGAUGUGAAAUCCCCGGGCUCAACCUGGGAACUGCAUUUGAAACUGGCAAGCUAGAGUCUCGUAGAGGGGGGUAGAAUUCCAGGUGUAGCGGUGAAAUGCGUAGAGAUCUGGAGGAAUACCGGUGGCGAAGGCGGCCCCCUGGACGAAGACUGACGCUCAGGUGCGAAAGCGUGGGGAGCAAACAGGAUUAGAUACCCCUGGUAGUCCACGCUGUAAAACGAUGUCGAUUUUGGAGGUUGUGCCCUUGAGGCGUGGCUUCCGGAGCUAACGCGUUAAAUCGACCGCCUGGGGAGUACGGCCGCAAGGUUAAAACUCAAAUGAAUUG